UCCAGCCUUGGUGAUUCUGUAAUUCUGUAAUUCUAUGAUUUUGUGUUUCCUUACCUCACUGUUCUUGCACAGCUGGAUCUCAGUAUAUGUCAGUACCAGGAGGUGGCAGUGGUAAGUGGUAGUAGACCGGAACAGAAAACUAGUCGGUAAAAUGUCUGUUGAUGCAAAGUAUGUCUACAGCUGUGUGAACCUUUGCGAAGAUCUAUACAUCCCUUUCAGUUUUAUUUAGCAGCCUGCAGAGGGUGAGAGACAGUCCAUUUCCAGACAAAAUCCUCAGUUCAGUCACGAAAAGGCAGCACAGGAGUUUUAUAGGUUAUAUGAUAUGGAAAGAUGAGCUGCUGCUAGCAAGGAGAGCAUUGUGAUUCCCUUGCAGUAUUUGAGAAUAUCACCAAGCUAUUAACAGAUCAGAAAACAGUACUUAAUCCUCCCAAAACAUACUUGAGAAUGUUUUGGCACUUGUGGGGAGGCAGAAUUAAGUAGCAACAGCACAUUAUUAUUAUUAUUAUUAUUAUUAUUAUUAUUAUUAUUAUUAUUAUUAUUAUUGUUUUAUUAUUAUUAUUAUUUGGUGGUUCAAGUCAAUAAAUGACCCAAGUACCUUCAUUUCCUCAAAUGAUGGCAGUGCUUGGUGUCUAGGUCCAAGACAGUCCUGGGUCAAGAUAGUUGCUUAGCCUGUUAGCCACCAGAAAAGGGAAUUUCUGUUACAGUGUUUAUUAGACACUGUUGUGUGGAUGUUGAUACUCUGCAAGAUAUCAGAAGCUGUCCAGUUGAAGAACUGUAAACUUAUUUUUCAGCAAUCAUGUAUGCAAGGAAGGGAAUGAUCCAAACUGGAGAAUAAAAGAAAGGACUGGACAGACAGAUGUUGGCCCACCUUGGUUUGGGUUCUGAUGCACACCAUUACACUGACACUGCCUGUCAUGCGGCAAAGCAAGUUAUAUUGAAAAGUCCAGAAUCACUGUUGUGUGCAUGUUUUUCCCUUGAAGCUGCGUAGAAGACCAGUGGCAACCCACCUCUACUGAGGGCAGGCUUUUCCUCCAUCUCCAAUAGCAAAGAGGCAGUAUUUCUUUGAAAAUGUGACAAGUGCUUGCUAUAACUCUUGCUUUGAUGUUUUGAGAUGCUAGGAUUAUGUUGUUCAAACCUCCCCGCUUUCUAAGAAGACUUAAAACUAUGCUUUUGGUCUCCUAAGAGAGUUUCCAAGCCAUGUAAACAAGCGAUGUCUUCCUCAAAGCUCACUCCAAAGCUCAGUCCAGUGCUUUCCAAUUUCAUUUCCUAGGAUCAGUGGGGCAUUAACAUGAGGUACCCAAAAAAGGUAGCACCUCAAGCUCAGCCAUGCAUGAAGCUUAUUCUGACAUGCCUGAGGAGGAAGAUCUAGCAGGAAAACUAAAUCAAUUGUGGGAUAUUGGAGGAUGCAAUGUUUUUAGGCAGUUGAUGUGGCAAAUUUUGAUUGGCUGUAAAAGCCCAUUUCUUCUCAAUAUGCAGGCUUCACGUAAUAGUGUUGCAAACUGCCCCAGGCCUGGGAAUAAACUGGUUCUUGCUUUUCCUAUUUUAGCUCUGUGAGAGAGUAUAAAGGAACCAAUACAGCUAAUAAAAGAGUGAUUGAUUUAGUCUGUCUAGUGAUGGUUGUCUCUGAUUGUAUCACCAGCUUUUCUCAAAGAAGUUACCAUAGUAAUGAAAAAUAUCUGCAAGGUCGUGGAGAUUUUUAGGGACAACAAAUGUACAGUAUGGUGUCCAAGAAAAAGUGAUCAAGCAGAAGCCAGGUAGGGUGUUUAACUUAGAGGAGAAUGUUUUGCCCAAAUAUUCAGCACAAUUCAAUUUUUAUGCAGUAGGAACUGACCUACCAUUUAUUUAAUGUCAUCUUUUUUUUCUAGCAUUUAAUCGAUAUUAAUUGAUCCUUAUUGUUCUUAAUUCAACUUAAUGAAGUGUUGUGUGUUUGAAACAGCCAUAUAGCUGAUGAAGGAGACAGAACAAUUACUUCUGUUUUUUUCUGCGUUUUUAUAUAAUUAAUGCAUUUUUAUCUCAGUUUUACUUUGGAAUUCCAAAUUCAAGUAUCUUAAUAUCCAGAAAAAAUAGGAAAGUAGGAAAGCUGCUAAAAUAUAUGCCAGAGUAUUAGUAGCAACAUUUGAAGUAAGCUUAUUUUAUGUUCUCUUCCCUCAGAUGAGAAGUUUUUGGUGGUUGUUGGAGAAUUUAGGUCAAGCUACAGUAGACAGAGACUUUGAAUAGAGUUAACAGCAGCUUGAAGACCCCUGUUAGUUUGCAGGCUCCAGACUCUCAGUUGAGCUUUAUGAGAGAUGCUGUGAAGUGAAGGAUAACUCAGGGACCUGUCAGUGAUAUCAGUCAUCUCCCUCCUUUCCUUCUUUGUUAUUUAAAACACAAAAAGCAUUUGUUCACCUUUUCUUUAAACACCAGUUUAAAAAACCAAAUGUAUGCUUCAAGGGUCUGGUGAGCUCAGGAAGGGGCUGUGGGGACGGCUGUUAGCAGUUCUGAAGGCUCCUGAGAAGACUUUCCUUGCUCAGAGCUAUGUGAAAUAUUUGAGCAGGGGUGAGAGGAGAAAGCUGACAUUUGGAUUAAGAAUUGUUGAGCACUAAGUGUUUCUGAGACUGAGGAUUUGGCAGCAAAUAAGGUGAAUUGAAGUGUAGCUUAUUUUUUUGCCUGAGUUUCCAGGGUCCACAGGUCACUUGUCCAGGAAGCAGACUGAUUGCUGAGGGAGGAGUGGAGCUGGAAAAAUAUUUUCUUACUGAGGAUGCUUUCACAGGUGCUCUUCCCGUUUGCUGAUUAUUCCCAAGCUUUUUUUUCCUCCAACUAUGUAAGGCUCACCUACAUCUGGGUGCCAACGCUUGCUCCUGAAAGGUGAGGUUUUGCUGAAUUGUCAGGGCAGGACACUUCACCUUAGCCUUGUGUUUGGUCUUUAGAUGUCUGUGAUCAUACAGCACCUCUAACUAGAGAUUGAUUGUUUCACCUACAGGAUUUUGUUCAAAUGUUUUCAUUCACUGCAACCAUUGAGGCACUGGCAGAAAAUAAAGAAGUACAAAGAAACACGUAUUGAAAUGCCAAUUAUUUUCCUCAGCUGGUUUCAUCUGAAACAUCUGAAAUAAUUUUUUUUGUAAUUAAAUUCCUUGACAAAGAGGAAUUACUUAACAAGAAGUCUUGCAGUGCAGGACAAGGAGCUAGAAUCCAGAAUCCUGGAUGCUGGAAGAAGGGCAUCCAUGCACAAUGGUGGUCCUCGUAAACUCUCUGCUGAAAGUUUUUUGUAGUACUUAGGGGUUGGAACAAAAGACAGAAGAAAAUUCAGCUGAAGAGGAUUUAGUAGAUUCCAAAAUAUUGGUAGGAUUGUUGAUGCGUUCAAUUACAGUGCAAUGAUGUUCAACUUCUGUAUGCAGAAAAUCCCACUCUUGGGAGUGAUCAUUUACAUUCCAUGGAUCCUGUCCACAGGGGCUGAGCAGCUUCACCGUGCAAGCAAUCCUGCCACACCAGCUCGGUUUGAUAUUUCAGCUGUAGCUCGUAUGGUUCCAGCGGCAGUGAAGGAAUGAGGGGAACACUCCCACAUGCCUUGCUCUCCAUCCAAGGCUGCCUGCGUGUAGGGAUCCCUUGGCGAGUUAACACUCGCUGUUGAGUACAUAGAAGUGAGGGGGACCUUUUAAACACCACGUUCACAUCAUUGUGCACAGAUUCUUUUCCCAAGAUAAAGAUCUUUCGACAUUGAUUGCAGGAAGCUUCUCCUGUCACCAAAUGAGCAAGCAUGAAAUACACAUAAAAAUAAACGUGCCUUGGGAAUUAUCAAAAUAUAUACGUAUAUAUUAAAAAAAAAGCAGGUGAUGAGACACUGAUUCAAGAGAGUGCCCAGUUACCUGCCCAGGUGCUUGCCUGAAAAACUCAUAAUCCUGUGAGCAAGCAGCCUGGGGUUUUUGUAGGGCCACGUUAAAGCUUGUAAGGCAUUGUUUUGAAGUGUUGCUGACUCUUCCUUCUGUUCAUUGCAGAUCUCAUUAGGAAAUGAAGGAGAGGAAACUGGGCAACCAUACUGCUUGGCCACGAAGCAAUGCACAAUGAGCAUAAUGAAGCCAGCAGCUGCAGGACAAUGCAAGCAGGCUGGGGCUAUUUUUGUUAGAUGUGAACAUGUGAGACCUUAUUGUGCUCCCUCCCCACCUUCUCCCCCUUCCUCAAAUGCUGGAAAUUUUCCCAAAGAGAAACGGUUUUCCUUUUCUCUUUGUAAAGCUGAUUAUCAUCAUAAUUUUCUCUUUCAUCUCCAAGCAGGUUUCUUUUGGAAGUCUGUGGCAGUUUCCUCUAAGCACAGUUGUUUGACUGUGUGGGAGUGAUGGGUGGCUGGGUCACACUGGGCACCAGGAGGCCUUGGGCAGCAUUCUUAGCAUUUAGGGGGUGUGAGGGACCCCUGACCCCUCUGUGGCUGCACACAAAUGAUGGAACCCUUGUCACAGGGUUAUCCUCACAGCAGAAACGUGAGUUUGGACAGGGCACAGGUCUCACAGAUGAAAAAUAAACAACAAGUGUUUGUAUUUGAGAUGCAUUGAGAAAAAAAAUAUAGAAUUAGGAUGGUACUCAUUGCUGCAAGUCUGAAUUAUCUCUGUCUUCACGCCUUCCUUGCCGGAGCAGCCCUUUUCAAUGUAUAGUAACAUUAGCUCUGGCUGACAAAUGGAAAAAUAUGCAAGGACAUAGACCUGUGAUUUAUGAUGUUAAGUGUGAAGAAAAGAAAAAGCAUAAUUUGGUCUCUUUCUAAACAGGAAUACAUUCUUCCUUUCUGCUAAGACAUAAAUGUAUUACCCCUCCCCAAAACAGUAAUGUUAUAUCUAUAUCUUUUCAGUGUACUGUGUCAAUAGCAGAUAUACUACCUUAGGUUCUCAUGCUUCAUAAUUAUGAAAGGAAUAUUAAUUUGGAAAUGGGCUUUCCUAACAUCUGAUAUUUCACUGAAGCAGCACUUACAGAUUUGCUAUUAAUAUUUUUUCAUUUUCAGUUGUUUAGUGUGCAAAUCUUUUUCCCUUUGCAAAGCAGCCUAUUAGUCACACACAAUCAAUACUUUCUGCACUUCUACCUAUUAUCUUAAUGUCACUGAGAUCUGGCUGGAUCUUCAUACAAUUCUUGCUACCACUUUAAUUUCAUUAUAAUGAUGUGUUUACCUUGGUAAUAGUUUAAUCAAAAUUGGAUGUGUUUAUAACACUGCAGCUUAGAUUAACAGCUUAUUUCUAUUUUACUACGAGGAAACCAUAAAAUUGACUGUAAUUCCUAAUCAAUACAGCUAUAAUUCUUAGAAUUUAAAUAGGCUUUUAAAUGGCCUUGCCUAUGCUACUAAAGGUGACAUGGCUGUCCUGUAAUUAGUCUUUGACAGAAUCCAUUUCCAAUCAGUCAGUUGUUUCACUCUACUUCCAGUUGUCAAAAAAUGCUGAAUUUACUUACAGAUAUUUUUGUUCUUUUUUUCCCUUUUCCUACCCCCUUUCCUUUACCCGGACUUGGCUGAAUGAUAGUGAUGUUGUAUUAUAACAGCAAGAAGUGCAACAACUCACGACUGAAUCCAUCUUCAUAAUGCACACACACACCUACUGCAGAGGAGAUGCUGGUGAGCUGUGCCUGCUAUCUCCUCUGGAGCCUCUGCCUUUGGAGUCAUUGCUUUUCUCUCUGCAUCUCAUCUCCUUUGGGUCUCCUAGCAUAAAGGAUCUACAAAACCUCUUCCUGAAAUAGCUGGAACUGAACUUAUUUCUAGGUUCUGCACCCCUCCCUGGAAAGACUGCAACCCUGUGAACUUGGCUCUGAAUUGCCCAGUGAAAUGCCUGCAAACUGCAGCUCUGGUUCAUCGGUGCUGCAGGGUAUUGAAGAGCUCUUUCAUCAAGGAGAGAUGACAGCUUUCUUUUCAAAUCAACUCACUUAAGGGGAAAAAAAUAGGAGAGGAACGGGAAGGAAAAGCUCUCAUCUCACACAGUUCAGAGCUCAUUUUUUGUGGUAUUGGAUAUGGACAAUACUUUUAAUCCAUUUAGUGAGCCUGAGUUCAACAAACACAGACUCCCUCCCCACUGUCUCUAAUGCAUUUCCAGCCUGCUACUGGGAUGAGGAAGCAAGAAGGAUCUUGUUGCUGUGAACACCUACUGCCCGGGACUGCAAAGGCCGUCCCUUUUCCCAGGGAAGAGUCUUGACAGUUUAGCAAUGACAGGUUAUUAAUACUUCUGAUGGCUUCAAGUGCAAUAUCAGAUUUGCUGCCUGGCUGGGGGUUUGUCUAGACGGGCUGUUUUAUUAGAUAGCAGAUGGCUGGGAAGUGGUGUGCUGUGACAGAGCUUACUGACUGGAAUGUGAAUUCUCUGCUCCUGGAUCAGAAUGAGAAGGGGCUGGGCUGGAGGAUGAGGAGAGCACAACUCCCAUGUCCCUAUCCAGUGGAAAAAGCACGUGUAUUUUAUAGAGGGAAAUGAGCUUAACUGCACACAUCUCAGAUUCUAAAGCAACUCCAAUCAAUCACGGAAUGAAUUUCCCUAAUACCUACUGUGUGCUAAUACUGGGAAAGUGAACUUAGAGUGUUUGACUGCUUAAUAUUUGUGAUUUUGGUCUAGAUGAAUGAGCAGUAGCAGAGUAUAUUGUCUGGACAAAAAUACAAGUGUCUAUCCACAUUCUGCUAUCAGGUAAUUGGAUCUGUGCUGUUUUUCGGACCCGUGUGGGUAGAAGUUCAGGCUGCCUCUUUUGCAGGGAGGGCUGAGAAGAAAGUGAAGAACUGGUGAGGAGUUUGGAUUUCUGCUUCACUCUGGGCCAGUCUCUGCACACUCAGAUGAAUUUAUUCGCACCAGAGGCAGCAGUUCUCUCUCCUCAGCAACAGCACGUGGCUCUACAGAUGGGCUGUGUGUGUCAAUAUGGACCUAAGUGUGAAGUUUGAAAUGAUUUCCCCUCCUUCUUCCCUGACACAAAGUCUCCUGGGUAGGAACUGGUUACCGAUGGCAGAACAGCAUUUCCAAGCAGAAGAUAGGCCAUCUGCGCUUUCAGGCGCUUCAGCUUGUAUCCCCAGAGCCAGGCUGUGUGCUGGUGAAAAGAAAAUAACAAGCCCAUGGCAUGUUAAAACUGACAGCCUGCAACCCGGGUGGGUAUAAUGCAGUAGCACAUGAGCACAUUUUGGGGUUGUGAUUUGAAGCUAAGUGGUACUUCUUACUUCCGAAUGGUCCUAAGAGAUGUCUGUGGGGGGAGAUGGCUGUGCUUGUGGAAGUGUGGAGGAACAAAGACUUGGUGCAUGUUUCUCAGGAGAUGGCAUCAUUGUACAUUUCUACCAUUGUGGUUAAUCAUAGUUUUGGAGAGAGUUUGUACCAGUUUGGCUAUUUCCACUGUCAUUCAAUCACAGCAUCUGCAGAAGUGGGACUGCAAAGUCACAGCUGGUUCAGGCAGGCAAAACCUGCCAGGGGUCCUGCAUCACUGUUCUGUGCUAGACCAUCAGCCACCAAACCUGGUGGGAUGAUUCCCAAGUGAUACAUUUUCAACCAGAUUUAACAGCAGUGAACCAUCCACCCUAUUAUCUUCACUCUGCCAACAGGUAUUGACAACUUUUUUAAUACAAGGGAAUGCGUAUCAUUGACGUCAGUGGUGGUAAUAAUUCUUGUGAUUGUUUCCCAUGCAGACUUAUGCCAGUGGCAAAGCUGCUUGGUCAGGGGAGAAGAGAUGCCAAAUUUGGCAGUGAUGUGCCAAGCAGUGUUUGCUAACACUGACUAAUGACUGCCGUGGUGCUGAGGGCAUGCAAGCAAUGUGUUAUUUCAAUCUCCAAACACUUCAAGCGAGAAUUUAGACCUUAUACUAAUUUUUAUAUAUUUAAUUUAUAAAGGUCUUUCUUGUCUGACUUCACUUUACCAGUCUGUGCCUGUUACUCAUCAACUAAUUGGCUAAAUGGUACCAGCCAAGCAUUGCAGACACCUUAGCUCUCAAAUAGUGGGAGACUUUUGGACUAGUGUGAGUUCACGGGCGAAUGGAUGUGCAUGAUGAAGGGAUUUCAGGUUUAUCAGUCAAUAAUACAGUGGCAUCAGGAUGUCUGGAGUUAGUACUGUUAAUUUAUUUAGUGCAAUUCCCUAGGAUGAGUAAAUGCAUUUUUCUGUACACAAGAAGCUAAUGCUUGACGAUAGCUGCACAUUGCCAUAGAAACCAAGCCAGGUUCAGCUGUAAGUCAAAGGUUAAUUUGUAAUUAUUUUUAAAGUCAUCUCACUGAAAUGCAUCGGUUUAGACAGAACUUGUCCAAAAGCUGACUCCUUACUAAAAAAUCUAUCGUUCUACACUAGCUCUUCCAAAAAUACAUUAACACGGCUCCUGUUUGCUUCAGGCAGAUUCUCCAUAAGGUGUUAUACAAGAUAACUGUCUGGUUUUGAGUGUUUGUAGCUGUGUUUGCAAAUGACAGCAUGACUGACAGCACAAGCUCCCCGUGGGAUGGCUGGGGACCAGAGCACAGAUGACUCAUUGUGUAUGAUGUUGUUUCACACCAAAGUGUUUGCUCUAUAUACUGAACAUGUGUGCGAGUCAAUAGCAAAAAGUUCAAGAGCAAACACAGCUUCAGUGGAAACAAAUUCACAGUGCCUGAAAUCAUUAUACUCCAGUCAGAAAGCUAAUUUCAUUGAGGGCAGCUGGUGAUCAAAAUGCCCAUUUGAACUCCUCUUUAAAGUGGGAAGUUCACACGGAUGGAGCCUAUGUCUUCUUCAAAUGCAGCGUGAACAGAGAAGCCUGACAUUUCCUUCAACAAAAGCCUUUUUGCUCCAGGAGUGGGCAGAAGUGAGUUCAGGCCCCUCAUCAGAACUUCCCAGUACAACAGCAUCAGACAGUAAUCAGAGAAUAUUUUUCUCUUCCAUAACAGACUUUUACCAAAGGAAAGCUUUCUCCUCACCUGUCUCCCCAGCUGCCUUUCUGACAGAGCUGUUUUCAUAUCAGGGGCCAUUAAUGCACUCUGUUGCCAAUUAACCCUCACCUCCAGCCCUUGCAAAUCUACAAGGUGCAUUAAAAGAAAGGGAAAGAAAGAAAGAAAGAAAAAAGGAUAAAAUAACAAAACUCUUCCUGAUUUGAUGCUGCUUUUAGUGUCUCCCAGGGACAACCCCAUUCCCAGGCUGCCAUGGCUAUGCAGAGGUGCCCAUGCAGCAGUCUUGUCUCUUCCCAUCUGAAAUAAAGCAGGUCUGAGAGAGCAGUUCACAUUUUCAGUCCUUUGGAGAGCUGAUGCUGUCCUUGAAUCAUCUCUUCUCUUGGUAGGAAAAGUCUGGGGAGAUUUCAAAUCCCAAGGGAUGCGUGGCUGAAUACAUGAAGGCAAUUUCAACUGUCACAUUGCCUCUUAGUAAGACUUCAGGAGGCCUUUGCACAUUGUCCAUUGAAGCCUGUUGUAGGUGAAGGACUGUUUCAGACAGUGCUUAGGGACAGGGAGCAGAGGGGUCAGCCACCCUGCAGUGCUCCCACAGGUGCUCUCACAGUGGGAGCUGGAGGUAGUGCCAGUGUACUUGGAGAACUCCCUUGGUCAGAAACCCUCACACUUACUCCCUGGACUCUCUGACAAAUCCCUUCUGCAAAGCCUAUGUCCACAUCUCAGAUCUUCUCUUGCAACUCUGGUUUUUCUGGACCUGUGUAGCUAAUGCAGCAAGGGAUUCAUACAGUUAUAGAGUCACCUGAGGCACAGGUGAGCU